GGAUGUGAGGGCGAUCUGGCUGCGACAUCUGUCACCCCAUUGGUUGCCAGGUUGAUUCGGCUGAUCUGGCUGGCUAGGCGGGUGUCCCCUUCCUCCCUCACCGCUCCAUGUGCAUCCCUCCCGAAGGUGCACGCUUGGUUGAAGAGGUCGACCUUCCCUCAAUAGAGGAGGACCGGUCUUCGGUCAAGGGUAUACGAGUAGCUGCGCUCCCCUGCUAGAACCUCCAAACAAGCUCUCAAGGAAGAGAGAACAUGGUAGAAACUGUUACAACUUCUCAGGCCUUUCCUUUGAUACAGAGUAAGAGACAGUUCAUGACUCAG
rnacentral:snRNA from 1 species